UGUUCUAAAUUUUGUAUUUAAGAGUUGAUUGCAAUGACCAGCAGUGUGGGAGAUGUAGAUCUAAUUUUAACCCCCAUCUUGCUGGUAAAUAAAGUAGGAAAUGUUGCCUUGAGGGGUCUGUUAUUUACUUCCUUUUGGAAUUAUUCUAUGAAAAGUGGAUUCCUUGGUCAGAGGGAAAAAGAGAAAACUCUUAAGGGCUAGGUCACACCCUAGGAGAAGUGGUACAGCACCCCUGCACAGCUGGCACUCAGAAGUUUGUAUUUCCAGUUCCUGACUGGACCCAGUCUAAAGGCUACAAGUUUUUUGGUGUGUUUUUUUUGUUUGUUUGUUUUUUUGUUACCUGUCUGAGUACUGUGUGGACUGGAGGUGUGCAGCCCCCACACAUGGGAAGGAGGUGGUGGUUAUAUUGUUUAAAUAUUAGUAAGACUUCUGUAGUUUAGCCAGCAGUUAAAUACUACCUAGAUUAUAUUCCUUGGGAAGGAAGAAUGAAUUGCCAAAAAACAUCAGAGAGAAAGCAGAUACUUUGGUAGGCAUGAAUGGAGUGUUUGUGUAGGGGGAUCAGCCUUGGCUGAAAGAGAAGGUCUGAAUGACCACAGUGCAGACAUCUUUGUUUCAUGGUUUAAUUUACAUCAGCUUGGGAUUCACAGACUCAACAUGCCUUUAUAUACUCAGCUGCACAGGACAUUCUCUUUGUCGUGGAAAGAUCAUGUCCACAGAUUCCUGAAUUUUGGUUUCUUC